rnacentral:rRNA from 1 species
AACGAACGCUGGCGGCGUGCUUAACACAUGCAAGUCGAACGGUAAGGCCCUUCGGGGUACACGAGUGGCGAACGGGUGAGUAACACGUGGGUGAUCUGCCCUGCACUUCGGGAUAAGCCUGGGAAACUGGGUCUAAUACCGGAUAGGACCACUGCCUGCAUGGGUGGUGGUGGAAAGCUUUUGCGGUGCGGGAUAGGCCCGCGGCCUAUCAGCUUGUUGGUGGGGUGAUGGCCUACCCAGGCGACGACGGGGAGACGGCUCGAGAGGGUGAACGGUGAGACUGGUACUGAGAUACGGACCAGAAUCCUACUGGGGUCAGCAGUGGGGAAUAUUGCCCAAUGGGCGCACGCCUGAUGCAGCGGCGCCGCGUGGGGGAUGACGGCUUUCGGGUUGUAAACCUCUUUCAGCACCGACGAAGCGCAAGUGACGGUAGGUGCAGAAGAAGGACCGGCCAACUACGUGCCAGCCGCCGCGGUAA